AAACCAGCACCUCAAGUGGUCAGGAUGAUUAUUGGGCCUAAAGCAUCCGUAGCCGGCUCUGUAAGUUUUCGGUUAAAUCUGUACGCUCAACGUACAGGCUGCCGGGAAUACUGCAGAGCUAGGGAGUGGGAGAGGUAGACGGUACUCGGUAGGAAGGGGUAAAAUCCUUUGAUCUAUUGAUGACCACCUGUGGCGAAGGCGGUCUACCAGAACACGUCCGACGGUGAGGGAUGAAAGCUGGGGGAGCAAACCGGAUUAGAUACCCGGGUAGUCCCAGCUGUAAACUAUGCAAACUCAGUGAUGCAUUGGCUUGUGGCCAAUGCAGUGCUGCAGGGAAGCCGUUAAGUUUGCCGCCUGGGGAAGUACGUACGCAAGUAUGAAACUUAAAGGAAUUGGCGGGGGAGCACCACAAGGGGUGAAGCCUGCGGUUCAAUUGGAGUCAACGCCAGAAAUCUUACCCGGAGAGACAGCAGAAUGAAGGUCAAGCUGAAGACUUUACCAGACAAGCUGAGAGGU
rnacentral:rRNA from 1 species